rnacentral:lncRNA from 1 species
ACAGAGUUGCUCAUAUAAGUAGCAAGAGGUGCUAGAUUUCAGUUGCCUUUCCUUAAAGAGAAGGCAGGUUGUGGGGGGAACCCAAACUCCAGAGAAUCCAGAGUAAACUUUAUAGUACCCUAGACAGGAAAUUUGAGACAUUCCUCAUAACCACAGCUGGUGGUCUUGCACAGGUGUCACUUAAUUUUAAACCAUGAGAUGAGAAGUGUGGAGGGGUGGAGGGACCUCAUAUUUUUAGAAAUUAUAUAAUAGUUAACCAUGUGAUUAACUGUUUGAGACAUUUUCUUCCUACUCCUUGGCUACCUUUUUUCCCCUCUCUUUUAUUCAGCUAAGAAACAAAUUGAAUCAAGAGCAGAAUGCCAAGCUACAACAACAGAGGGAGUGUUUGAAUAAGCGUAAUUCAGAAGUGGCAGUCAUGGAUAAGCGUGUUAAUGAGCUGAGGGACCGGCUGUGGAAGAAGAAGGCAGCUCUACAGCAAAAAGAAAAUCUACCAGUUUCAUCUGAUGGAAAUCUUCCCCAGCAAGCCGCGUCAGCCCC